rnacentral:tRNA from 1 species
UCCCCGGUAGCUCAGUUGGUAGAGCGGUCGGCUGUUAACCGAUUGGUCGGGGGUUCAAGUCCCUCCCGGGGAGCCA